rnacentral:rRNA from 1 species
ACUUAUGGCAACACCGGCCUGAGUACGCCUGAUCUCGUCCGAUCUCGGAAGCUAAGCAGGGUCGGGCCUGGUUAGUACUUGGAUGGGAGACAGCCUGGCAAUACCAGGUGCUGUAAGCU